rnacentral:snRNA from 1 species
AAAAAGGGCUUCUGUUGUGAGUGGCACACGUAGGGCAACUUGACUGCUCUUCGUGUGGAAUAGACAUCAAAAGAUUUUGGAAGCAUAAUUUUUGGUAUUUGGGCUGCUAGUGAUCGUUGGUUCCAGCACUCUU